UACAGAGGGUGCGAGCGUUAAUCGGAAUUACUGGGCGUAAAGCGUGCGUAGACGGUUAUUUAAGUCGGGUGUGAAAGCCCCGGGCUCAACCUGGGAAUGGCGAUGGAAACUGGCGGGCUGGAGUAUGGCAGAGGGGGGUGGAAUUCCUGGUGUAGCGGUGAAAAUGCGUAGAGAUGUGGAGGAACACCGAUGGCGAAGGCAGCCUUCUGGGCCAACACUGACGCUCAUGCACGAAAAGCGUGGGGGAGCAAACAGG
rnacentral:rRNA from 1 species